rnacentral:misc_RNA from 1 species
UUUGUUUGCAAAUAUAUAGAAGCUCAAGCACAUACGGCUAUCAAGAAGCUCAAACACUUGCGUAGGAAAGGAGAAGAAAUGGAAUGGAGCUCUAGCAGUUUGCUUGCUUGGUUUACUCUUCUCUUCAUUUUAACCCUGGUUCUGCUGUUGAAACAGAGACGAUCAAGAUCACUUGGUGCCAAGAAACGACCACCAGGGCCUCCUGCUUGGCCAGUCUUUGGUAACAUCUUCGAUCUUGGAACCAUUCCUCACCGGAAUUUAUACAAGCUUAGAUUCAAGUACGGGCCUGUAAUUUGGUUAAGACUCGGAUGCACUAACGCUCUGGUGAUACAAUCUGCCAAGGCUGCUGAAGAGCUGUUCAAGAAUCAUGACGUUACGUUCAGUGAUCGGAAAGUUCCUGAAUCUUUGACAGCUCAUAACUUUAACGAGGGAUCGCUUUCUAUAGGAAGGUAUGGCUCCAACUGGCGACUUCUUCGCCGCGUAGUAACAGUGGAGCUCAUGACCAACAAGCGAAUCAACGACACUGCUUUCAUUCGGCGAAAGUGCAUCGACGAUAUGAUAAAAUAUAUUGAGGAGGAUGUAGAAGCGGCGCUUGCACGAGGAGAAACAGGGGAGUUGGUGGUAUCUCACUAUGUCUUUGUCAUGGCAUUUAACCUGAUAGGCAACCUCGUUAUUUCGCAGGAUCUUUUGAAUUCUCAUUCGAAAGAGGGGCCUGAGUUCUUUGAAGCCAUGGACAAGGUCAUGGAGUGGAGUGGGAAGCCAAACUUAGCUGACUUCUUGCCAUUUUUGAAGGGGUUGGAUCCCCAGAGGAUCAAGAAGAACAUGGAGCGAGACCUGGGACGAACCAUGAAAGUAUUGGAGGGUUUCGUCCGGCAGAGGAUUGAAGAGAGGAAAUUAAUGAAAAAAAGGGAGGGAAGGGACUUCUUGGAUGCAUUAUUGGAGUACGAAGGUGAUGGGAAAGGUGGACCUGAUGAGAUCUCAGCCCACAGAAGACUCAUCAUCAUAGUGGAAAUUUUUUUUGCUGGGACAGAAACUACAAGCCGCACUAUUGAAUGGGUUAUGGUUGAACUAUUUCGCCACCCAGAAUCAAUGAGAAGAGUUAAAGAAGAACUUAAUCGAAUAGUCGGACCAAAAAGGAAGGUUGGGGAGAGUGACAUAGAUGAAUUGCCAUACUUACAGGCAGUAAUCAAAGAAUCAAUGAGAUUACAUACUAUCCUCCCAUUUCUGGUCCCAAGAAAUACCUUACAAGACACAAACUUCAUGGGAUUUGAUAUACCUAAAGAUACGCAAGUUUUCAUCAACGCUUGGGCUAUAGGAAGAGACCCAGAUACUUGGGAGGACCCCUUGUCUUUCAAGCCUGAGAGAUUUCUAGGCUCAGAUGUUGACUAUAGAGGGCAAAACUUCGAGUUGCUACCGUUUGGAUCUGGAAGACGAAUUUGUGUGGGCCUCCCUUUGGCUCACCGCAUGCUUCACCUUACUUUAGCCUCUUUGCUUCACAGUUUUGACUGGGAGCUUGGCAGCAAUUCUGCUGCAGAGACCAUUGACAUGAAAGAGAGGAUGGGAUUUACAGUUAGAAAGCUUAUACCCUUGAAAGCAAUACCAAAGAAGGUCAUAGCAGAAUGAUCAUUCCUGUGUUGGAAAGUACAAUAAUUCGUAUUUGUGUGUAUAUAUAUAUAUAUAU